CGGGGAUGUGUUUGGGCUGGUGUUUCAGUCCCAGUCCGGCUGUAAAACAUCUGUGAUUGAAAUAAACAAUAACAGUGAUCCUCCUACAGGCUGGAAACUAAAGGGUUAAACGUCUCGCACUGUGAUUGGUCUGAAGUUUGAGGAAGUGAUGUGUUUGAGGAAGUUGGAUCCGGAGAAGCCGGAGUUUGUUGGAAAAUGGCGCCUCUGUGUUUGGCCGUGUUCUUCGUGUUCUUUCUGCUGUUUCCUGCUUCCAUGGACUCUCCUCCAGUGUCAGGGAUGAGCUCCUGGACUGGACGGACCAUGAGCUGCAGUGUCGGAUGGAGGUCCCUGAAGGAGCUGAGGUCCUGCUCCUGGAGUGGACUCGAGUUGGGACGUCCGGUUAUGUCCUCCUGUACAGAGAUGGCAAACUGCGAAGUAUAUCUCAAAGCUCCACGUUCAAAAACCGAGUGGAGCUCCGAGAUCCAGACCCAGAGCUCAGGUCCGGAGACAUGUCCAUCACGCUGAAGAACAUCUCCACAGAGGACAGCGGAGAGUACAAGUGCCACGCUCGGAUUCAGACUUCUGAUGGACAAAGGAAGCCCCACUCCCAGGUCGUUCAUCUGAAACCAGUGGAGCAGAUUGUGGCUCAGUCUGGAGAGGACCAGGAGCUGCCCUGUGUCUUUCCCCUAGAGGGCGCUAAAGUCCUGGACCUGCGGUGGACUCGACAGGGCUCAGGCGGUCACGUCCUCUGGUACAAAGACGACAAACUGCAAGACGAACAUCAGAAUCAAACGUUUACAAACCGAGUGAAGCUCCGAGACCCAGAGCUCAGGUCUGGGAACAUCUCGCUGAAGAACAUCUCCACAGAGGACAGCGGGUGGUUCAAGUGUGAGGCUCGGUUUGAGACCAAAGACGCACGACAGGGGGAGGUGAUUCAGUCUGUUUAUCUGACGCUGAAACCAGAGACGGAGCCUACAGUCAAAGGACCCGGCUGGCCUGUUCAUGUUGUUUGGGUGACUCUGCUGCUGAUUGCUGCUGUCUGUGUCCCUACUUUCUAUUUCCUGUGGGAGUGCAACAAACAAAAGUGUCAGACCGGGUGUGGACCUGAGCUCGUUCAGCCUGAGGAGAAUCCUGUGGGAGAAGCAGAACGAACCUCCUCCAAAGGUCUCGCUUUACCUCAGUCAAAGCUGAAUUCUCUGGGCAGGAAGGACUCGGCUGGUGAGUCUCUCCUGGACGACUCAAAGACUUUCCCCCUGUGACGAUUCAUGAAGACGACACGUCAGCACUUUUAUCUGAGUUAAAUUUGACCAAGCAGCUUUGAAUUGUAUUGGGUUUACAGGUUGACCGAUAUCUGAGCCAUCUGAUGUAUCGGGCCGAUAUUUGAGUAUUUUAGAAUAUAAUUUUAUUGACAGAUCUAAAGGCCGAUAUCUCCAGAACCAAAGGUGAUUGAGCCUUCCCGUUUGAGUUGGAAAGAGCUCGGUCAGAGGCGGUAACUAUGGUGAUUGUCAAAAAGCAGAUUCUAGUCUCAAGGGCUCAUUUACUAAGUGUUUGCUCAAGUGCAGAAGUGGAUCAUCUGCAGAGUGAAUAAUGCAUUUUCCACUUACGCAGCAUUGUCUCAUUUACAUCAAGGAUUUGGGGCCCUACAUGCAUCAUACAAAGACAGAUAAAGUCCAACAUGCCUCUGAAAUAGCAUAUUUUAUUUUUGAGUAUUUCUGAGUUGUUUAUAUUAUUGUGGAGCCGAGGAUAUUUAGUGAGAAAAGUCCAGUAAUCCUUUUUUACAUUUGUUUAUUAAUUGAAAUCAUUGAUAAAUGAUGUUUAACGUCUCAUUUGCAAGAGAAAUGAAAAUUAACUAAUAAUAAAGCGCCCCCUGCUGUCACUUUUCAACACUGACACAGUUUACAGUUUAGAAGCUUCAUUAUUACAGAUGAGACAUGUGGAAAAAAUCGUCCAUAUCAGUCGACCUCUAUAUUAGACCUGGAAUAUGAAUAAGUGAAGAGGUGUGAACCUAUGGAAUGACUUAAAUGAUGACUUAAAAAACGCCUCUAACUUACAACUAUUUAAAAAGCUUUGUAAGAUAAAUGUGAUUAAGGAAUACGCAAAAGAACGUAAAUCCUAAGUCCCAUGGGUUCAUUCUGUCCGAGUGCUUGUUGAACUUGGCUCAUAAAUGUGAUCACAUAAAGCUGCAGAAGAAAGUUCGCUCUGCACAAACCAACACUUUACUGCUACAACCACCAGUCAAUGUAUCGACAAACAAAACAGUAUAAUCAGAUCAUUACUGACAUAACCAUUACUCCUUUUAAUAGGUUUUGGUCAUACUAAAUUAAAAAUAGAAAGGAAACAAUUCAACAAUCAUGAUGCUGCUCUGUUGUUGCCAUUGACAUGGUCAUUACUAUUGCCACACACAAGAACCAAAGAGAAUUUGGGCCGAUGGGGUGAAUGGACCUGUUGGUUAGAGGGGCCCCCUCGCAAUGGGCCUAUUGACCCCUGUCUUUUAAUGCACCACACAGAAAGGGCUACAUACAGACAACUUUAUAGGUUAGCCAAGUGGGACAAAUCGUAUGGGGGCUCAACCCCCCCCCCCGACUGGUCCACACCCUGGCUUUUUAAUGCACUACACAGACUAGGGCACAUACACCAACCAUGAGAUAAUGCUUAUCCAAAUAUAGUUAUAAAGAUGGUAAAUGUCAACAAGAAAGCAACAAGGAAUUAAAAAAACCCUUUCAUAAUAAAAACUUUCAUAAUAAAAACGUUCAUAAUAACUAAAUCAACUGGCCUAAUGGUUCAUCAGUAAUGAUUAGUAUUAUACACCACACAGAUACUCGCACCAUAUUGAUGCUCACCGAUAACCUGAACGGUUCAAUGCUUCCUUUAUGUAAAUAUACAAUGUACGGUAAAAUGUCCAUAUGAUCCUGUUGUAUCGCUGAAAGAAGAACUGAAUGUAAUUCAUAGGCCAGUGCUCGCAUGUUACUGUGUGUAUACUUACGUAUGGAAACAAAAUAAUUCUGAAUCGUCUUGCUGUUGAAAACAAAACAAAAAAGCCUAAAAGUUACCACUGAAUAUGUAAAGCACGAGGGUGAUUAAUAAUGAGGAAUGAGGGAUAGGCACACAUAAGCUCGGCUUCAGCCUACUCCUUUUGAGCUUUACUGUGAUUAAAUGUUUAAUUACUGUGAAAAUAUGAAUAUAAACAGCUCAAUCAAUCAAUCAAUCAGUCAAAUAUGAAUAUCUCUACUUUUAUUCUACCAGAUUUUACCAAAGGUUUCAGUCGGAGAAUAUUUAAAGGAGACCAAACUGUGAAUGAGCUUUUUGUAAAUAAAGAAGAUCAAGUCACACGGUGGAGUUACUUUGGGUUUGUGGUGAAACUGUAAUGUUCGAUAAUGUCUUUCGCACUGAUUUAGUUGUUUUAUGACAGUUUUUAAUUUCAUUACAUAAGACACUUGUACUUGUGCGGACGGUGAGAGAGAGAAUAUGUGAAUGUUAUUGUUACUGUCAGCUCGCUUUUAAAUGACAUGAAAGUAAGAGGUUUUUCUGUAAUAUUUCCAAAUGAAAGAUUUUUUUCUGAUACGUUUCACUGAAAGGUUUGAAUUGUAAUGUAUUGUGAGCCAGUUGACAUGAAUGAAUGGAUACAUAAAUGUUUUCUGCAUUACAUUUCAAAAAUAAACAUAUGGAGAAAAAACUUCCCUAAUAUUGUAUCUAUUUAUUGAAAAAGGGACAAUAGAUUAAUCAACAUUACACAGAAUGAGCUCAUGUUAAGGCAGGCUUAAAAUAGACGACUAUUUACAAACCCUGUACAAUAUCACUACAACAUGCAGUAUAUUACAGACGUACAUGAACAAAGCAAAGUAUAUUUACACUUAGUGGCUUAUUUUAAAUGAAUGAGGGAGACUCUUGUUCCACUGUUGGGACGCUCGGUAAGAAGAGACGGCCAGAUAAAGUUUUUCUUUUUUUUUAUGUGUACUGUUUUUACCCUCACCCAUUAUCUUCCACCUGCCCAUCACAUUACACCAGUCCAUACUGUACUGUUUUAAUUAUAUCAUAUUAACAUUGCUUUUUAGCGUAUCCACAUACCUGUAUAUCAGUGCAAAGCAGCCACUUAAGCGUCCAAUGACCCGCGAUGUGAUUAAUGUUAUAAAACAAGUGAAUGAAUAAAUCAUGAUUUGCCCCACACAUUCUCUACACCAGGCCUUCCCAAGCUCCAGAGUCAUUUGUUCCAGACCCUGGCAGCGGUGAUAUAAUUGCCGUAGCAGUAAGCCGGUUACAUUCUCAUAAGUGCAGUUGCAGCUUUGGCCUGUAGGGGCAGCGUAUAAAGAGGCACAGUCUGCUGAUGGCACGACUCUUUAAACACAGCUCCUGAGGUCCCGUAAAGAUUAUUGGCUUGUAUCAGAAUCACUGAGUAAAUAUAAUAUUAUGUUGAAUAUGUUUUCAAUGCCAUAAACUGAUCAUAGAGCUGUAACUGUAUAUAGGCCUACAUGUUUUUGUUUUUUUCCUGGUGUUGAAGACAUUGGAAAACCAAAAGCUCUUAUUUGAAACAUAGUGAUAUAAAACAAUCUAACUUCACUGACUCAGCCAGACGUUUAGUUUGGGAAACAAUGGGAGCUUUUAAAAUGUUUAGUUGGUAAAAGAUAUUUUGGGAAAAGUGAAUGUGCACGAUCAGCCAUGAAUGUUAUAAAGAACUCCAAUCACAGCGUCUGGUUUAAAGUCGAGCCAGAGAAACUGCACUUGGUUAAGGCGGGGGUUAAGAGGUUAAAGUGCCCUGAAUCCCCAUAGCAGGACCGGUAUCACAAACAUCACUGGGAUUUGGAGACUUUAGUGUUUGACUUUAGACUGAGCCAUAACGCUAACUUACCUAAUCCUGCCACCUUAACCUUUCUGCCUCCUCUGGGUUCACAGCACAAUCAAAACCCUUCAGUUUCCUUUUGACAGGGACUGGGGGUGAAGUGAGUGAAGUGUCUUGCCAAAGGGCACAGCCGACACGUGAGCUCCUGAGUGCUACAGCGUGUCUAAAGUCAUUCCGGGCUGUGGUUCUGCUGACCCAGAUUCUGUCUCUUAAGCUUCAUGAGCACAGCCAGAGCCACAGAGGCCGUCCCGAACAGCGCCCCCCUGUCCAGGCUGCAGCGUGGCGUCUGUCGACCCCGGGGCCCGGUGUCUCCUCCGGACCCGCCCCACGCACGGCACUGGCCAGUGGCUCCGGCAGGAUGCUGUCUGCAGCCGGCCGCUCUCCAGACGGUUUCUCCUGAGCCCCAACCACCAGUUUCUCUGUGAACGAGAGAAACUCACAUCAGUGACUUUACAGCUUUUCAUCCGGAACCCAGUCUGGCUUUACCCAAAUCGAAAAGCUUCAAGAACAAAGCGUCGAAAACGAGGAUGAAAAUACAACAAAAACGUUACCAAAAAAGCAACGAAAAAGUGAUGAAUAAGCAAAUGAGGCGUUACUCAUUAGGCUGUAAACCUUUUAGAUUAAAGCUGAACUGGAGGAAAUGCGCUCGGUUUAGACUGGGGUAAGAGGUUUAAAUGAGGCUCAAAGUAAAAGUAGUUACUGAGACUAAAACCUGUGACUAAAAUCUGCAGAUGUUUCGGGCGACUCCUAAACUGAACAAGAAGUAAAAGACUAAACACAUGUUAAGCCUCGUAUCGUUUAAAAUCACUGCCAAUAAAUAGGGCAGUGAAAUCCCUCACAAACAGGGAAACAAUCAAAAAACACUGACAGACAAAGGGAUACUUCGGGAUUUUUGACAUU
rnacentral:lncRNA from 1 species